rnacentral:rRNA from 1 species
GACGAACGCUGGCGGCGUGCUUAACACAUGCAAGUCGAACGGAAAGGCCCUGCUUUUGUGGGGUGCUCGAGUGGCGAACGGGUGAGUAACACGUGAGUAACCUGCCCUUGACUUUGGGAUAACUUCAGGAAACUGGGGCUAAUACCGGAUAGGAGCUCCUGCUGCAUGGUGGGGGUUGGAAAGUUUCGGCGGUGGGGGAUGGACUCGCGGCUUAUCAGCUUGUUGGUGGGGUAGUGGCUUACCAAGGCUUUGACGGGUAGCCGGCCUGAGAGGGUGACCGGCCACAUUGGGACUGAGAGACGGCCCAGACUCCUACGGGAGGCAGCAGUGGGGAAUAUUGCACAAUAGGCGGAAGCCUGAUGCAGCAACGCCGCGUGCGGGAUGACGGCCUUCGGGUUGUAAACCGCUUUCGCCUGUGACGAAGCGUGAGUGACGGUAAUGGGUAAAGAAGCACCGGCUAACUACGCG